rnacentral:rRNA from 1 species
UGAGGAAAUAUUGGUCAAUGGGCGCGAGCCUGAACCAGCCAAGUAGCGUGCAGGAUGACGGCCCUAUGGGUUGUAAACUGCUUUUAUGUGGGGAUAAAGUGAGCUACGUGUAGUUUAUUGCAGGUACCACAUGAAUAAGGACCGGCUAAUUCCGUGCCAGCAGUCGCGGUAAUACGGAAGGUCCAGGCGUUAUCCGGAUUUAUUGGGUUUAAAGGGAGCGUAGGCCGUGGAUUAAGCGUGUUGUGAAAUGUAGACGCUCAACGUCUGAAUUGCAGCGCGAACUGGUUCACUUGAGUAUGCGCAACGUAGGCGGAAUUCGUCGUGUAGCGGUGAAAUGCUUAGAUAUGACGAAGAACUCCGAUUGCGAAGGCAGCUUGCGGGAGCACAACUGACGCUGAAGCUCGAAGGUGCGGGUAUCAAACAGGAUUAGAUACCCUGGUAGUCCGCACAGUAAACGAUGGAUGCCCGUUGUUAGUUCACUUAGGAAUUAGCGACCAAGCGAAAGCAUUAAGCAUCCCACCUGGGGAGUACGCCGGCAACGGUGAAACUUA